UAAAAAAAAUGGCUUGUAUAAAAAAAAGAAAAGGAAAAGAAAUGAUGUAUAAUCAAAUAAGUCCUGUGUACAUAAAAAUAUAAAAGCACAUAUAUGUGUAUACUUUUGGGUAGAUACAUACAUGAAAAAGUUUGACAUAAUAAGGGUUGUAAAAACAAAACAUACGAACUAUCAAUACGUGCAACAAUUACACUAUAGACAUAAUAUUAACAUACAGUAAAAUGCAAAAAAGAAAAAAAAAAAAAAAAAAAAGUGAUAAAUGUGAUCAUCAUCAUAAGAAUCAGGGAGACGUUGCUUUGUAACUCUUUUCAAAAAAAAAAAAAAAAAACGGUUAUACAUACAAGAGAGUAGAUAAUAGUAAACACAUGUUAUAUAUAUAUAUAUAUAUAUAUAUAUAUAUAUAUAUAUAUAUAUGUUUAUAUGUGUUUAUAUGUGUUUAUAUGUGUUUAUAUGUGUUUAUAUGUGUUUAUAUGUGUUUAUAUGUGUUUAUAUAUGUUUGUAUGUGUUUGUAUGUGCUUAUAUGUGUUUAUAUAUGUUCAUAUAAGUUUAUAUGUGUUUAUAUGUGUUUAUAUAUGUUUGUAUGUGUUUGUGUAUGUGUUUAUAUGUGUUUAUAUAUGUUUGUAUGUGUUUGUAUGUAAGUAUGUGAAUGUAUUUGUAGUGCUCAUAUACAUAUACAAAUGCAUUUAAAAUUUUUUUUUUAUUUUUUUCGUCCUUUUAACAAACUUAA
rnacentral:lncRNA from 1 species